GACGAACGCUGGCGGCGUGCUUAACACAUGCAAGUCGAACGGUGAAAGCGGAGCUUGCUCCGCUGGAUCAGUGGCGAACGGGUGAGUAACACGUGGGCAACCUGCCCCUCACUUCGGGAUAACUCCGGGAAACCGGGGCUAAUACCGGAUAUGACCUCCUUGGGCAUCCUUGGAGGUGGAAAGUUUUUCGGUGAGGGAUGGGCCCGCGGCCUAUCAGCUUGUUGGUGAGGUAGUGGCUCACCAAGGCGACGACGGGUAGCCGGCCUGAGAGGGCGACCGGCCACACUGGGACGGAGACACGGCCCAGACUCCUACGGGAGGCAGCAGUGGGGAAUAUUGCGCAAUGGGCGAAAGCCUGACGCAGCAACGCCGCGUGAGGGAUGACGGCCUUAGGGUUGUAAAGCUCUUUUACCCGGGAAGAUAAUGACUGUACCGGGAGAAUAAGCCCCGGCUAACUCCGUGCCAGCCGCCGCGGUAA
rnacentral:rRNA from 1 species